ensembl:lncRNA
CACUUCCAUCGAUGGAUGCCCAGACCAGCAGACCAGGCAGACCUGCUGGGCCACCAAUUCCCCCAUCCCAAAUCAAACCUCCCACCAUAGGCAGACUAGUGCUGGCUGGCUGGCUUCUUUUAGCUCGGCUACUGUCAGUUCAUCCAUGGCAGGUCUGGCGAGAACAGAGGAGUGGAAUUAAAGAGGGCAUGUGGGUGGAUCCAGGUAGUGGAGUGUGGGCAAGCAGUGCUCCCAAGGCCAUUCUAGUCUGCUCAGAAACGACCCACUGACUGCACACCUCUCUAGCUAGCAGCACAUUGGUACCGUGUGCGAGGCAGACUACAUGAAAUGUAGUGUUGUGAUUCACUAACGGAAGACCUAUCAAAGUAAGUGGGUAGAGGUCUGGAGUGGGUCAGGGGUGGUGUCUAAGGCUACACAUGAACAAUCAAUGCUAGAAAACAUCGAGUCUUUAUCCGGAAUUGGAUGGUUCAAGGCGUGAGUUAAUCACGUUUCCUCUGCUUGGACCAGGGCAAAUAUAACAUGCUAUAGUCCAUUGUAGCAAACAUUUAAUGUUUAUAAUAAUACAUAUUAGCCAAACGUUUCAAUGAAGACAAAUGCGGCUGGCCGGUCAAGACACAGAAAGGGGUCAAAUCAAAAUGUGUGACAUUGUAGAAAACUAGGCCUACUUGCGAAAAAAAGCUAAUAGCUUGCUAGUAACUUUCGAUGCCAGUUGAUACUUCGUAAACAUGUUUGUGUGAAUAAUUAUUUGAGCCGCUUAAAACAAUAACCAUACAACAAUAACAUGGUUAAUUUUUACCUAAUUUCCACCGGAGGAGGCAGGACUUUGAAGUUUCUUGCUAGUGAGCUGUUUUUUGGUAACUUUCGAGAUAAGUACAGCAGGCAAGUGUCAUCAGCAUUUACCGUUCCUGCCAACUGGCGCUAAUCCAGAUCAAUCACUAGCUGCUUUGGGAAAAAUAUGUUUCACUUGGACCAGAAAAAUAAAUUAAUGGAAAUUGACAUCAUUGACAAUGUAAUGUAGUCUGAAUUUUCAACACACCUUUUUUCCAUGCUUGUUCCAGUGAGGCACAGUGACUGCAUUCAUAUUCUCCCUAUUUCCAAGACCCCUCCAACAUGCAUUCACCUCUCCUUUGAAAAGACAAACAGGACACAGCGGGAGGUUGCCCUGUCAAGGUCUCCGCUUCCACACUCCCCUCCAACGGCGGCUGUGAGACAGGGUCACGGAUGACACCGAUCGGCCCGCCUGCCAGACGUGACAGCACAGCUGGUCGCCUAAUGACAGAGGGGCCCUGCCCGGCGCACACCUGCCCAUCGUGGGCAGGGCAGGCGACCUUGUGAGCCGCGAUGCAACGCUGGACGGGCAGAUGUUCCGGCAGAGAGGAGGAGAACGAGACGGACUCACUACAGGGACCCCUGUCUCCGGUUCUCUCCUCAGCUGUAAUUGAAAAUCGUGUAAAAGGUCAGCUGUGUUCUGAGAACGCUCGGCUGUCCCUGCCUGGUCGUGCCUUUCAAGCGGAAACGCGACAACAAAAGCUCGGCGCGUGACAGCUUUUGCCUCAGCUACUGCGCGUUAAAAAUAUGUAAGAACAUAUGCCAUAAUGGCCAUAUAAUGACAAUAUCUGUAAACAUUUGCGCCAGCAUAAAUCUGCAUAGUCAAGUGGGUGUGGCCCAUCUGUCAGAGGCCUUGCCUAGGGGUCCCGGAGAAAGCCCUAAUCAUUGGGUCCAUUACUGAGACAUUGUUAUGACAUUGGGUCUCUGAGUUGAGGAUGACUGCAUGCGGUUGGGGCCUGGAAGUGAUAAACGUUACGGGUGAUUUAAAAUGUGGGGGAAUUCUGGACCAAUACAAUAGUAACCCUAUCCAUGCUGCUGCUGUGUAGUGGGAACCAUUGCCUUGCUGUCCUGAAUACUUUAGUCAGUCAGAGUGACCUUUGGGCCCAAGUCUCUCCCUGAUGAGGGGUGGCUGAGUUCUAGGUUCUAACCCCCCCCCCCACACCCAAAUACAUUUUCUCUGUUCAUGGUUCCUUUAAACGGAACCAGCAUCGGACCUGUCAGACACCAUCAGCUUCCCCGAGGAAGGAGAGACUGGCUGGGCCUUCAGUCGGAACAGGAAGAUCCAAACAGACUAUAAAAUCGUCCUGGAAUACCAAGUCUGGUGAUCUGAGGUAAACAUUUGAUUGGAGGCCACUUCGUGGUCCAUUCGAAAUAUGAACGUGUACUUUGAGAAAUAUAGGAAUUCUGACAGUGCGUUCCAAUAGGUUCUUUCUUUAUUUCGCUCGGGUUAAAAGGUAAUGUUUCUGGGGAGUUGGUUUUGCUGGGGGAAAAAAGUAUCAGAGGAGAUAUGGUUUCGGGACAACGCAGUCAGAACUAAAUUGAAGACAUACACUGUCGACGGUGACAUCUCAUUUUGGUUUCAUUUCAAUAAUGCAUGAGGUUUGAAAAGACAUUAGGCUAAAUGAGGAACACAUGACGCUAACACUCAGACAUGUGGUUCGGGAGUGUGGGUGGGGGGGGGGUUUGUUCGUAAUAAAAACAAGUGCUGUGACUCGAGCGCAGAGCGCAAACAGGAAGGAAACAAUCCCGUCCAUAAACUCUCCCCAAAUGAGUCUGUUAUCAAUAACACUUGUGUCUAGUGGAGAAACAGAAUGUUGCCGGAUUUCACAAUGUGUGUUUUUGGUUUGACUGCCGUAGACUUUGCCAAUAACAAUGUUACCCACAAUCACUAUCCAAACCACACAGCCUUGGCAUCGUAGUCUGUCACAAAUUAUGUUUUGGUUCUGACCGAAUGCAACAGCUUCCUGUCUCGUUCUGGUUUCUCUUACAGUCUCGGCCAAAGACAAAGCAAAGGACAGCAGGUUUUUUUUCACUGUAGCAGUGAAGGAAAUGCACAUUAGAAACAGUUGGAGUGAUGACAAUUGUGAAACGCAGGGUUAUAUAUCUUUUUUCAUGUUUUAUAAAAAUGUAAAUAAAGCCAUUGCCAUAUCUGACAAUGGACAUCCCGGGUUUAUCAUUACACAUUGACCCAAGAACCACUAAUGUACCAACCUUCUGAUAAAAACUGGUGUUGUCUAUGGCUAUGGUAUCACUUAUGUUUGCUGGAGCCCUCUUUUACUGUGUUUGUGACUUCUUCUGUGUGUGGAGAAAGGCAGAGGGUUGGUACCCGCUGGUGAGUGUGUUCGCACGGCUCAGAUUGCACAUUACAAAGGGAAGACAGCUUCUGGGCUUGCUGAACUUUUGCUUGUUAUCAGGAGCUGGGAGAGAGAUGGAGAGAAUUGAUCUUUUGUCUGCUGGAGGUGCACUCCCCUGGGCCGGACCAGCCCCCCCCCCUCCCUCCUUCCCUCCCUCUCUGCCUCCCUCUUUCUCAUUCUCUCCAUCCUCCCUGCUCCCUCUUUUUCUCUUCUUCAUUCUUCUCUUUUAUUUUCUCCUCUUUCCAUCCCUCUCUCCUUCCGCCCCACUCCUUCUAUCUCAUUCCCCCGCGCCCAGUCUCCGU